GUCAUUAUUACUGUAAAGUCCCUGAGGAAGUCCCUGGAGUGGGAGGAAACGCGUUGGACAGAUGGUGGACAGUUUUAAUUAAUUUUUAUGCUGAUUGAUCCUUACCUAUGUGUAAGUAAUAAAUAUUUUUUUACUUUGUGCACAUCUUUCUACUUUUCAUUUUGGAUGCAUUCUAUUUUUCUAUGUUAUUGAGACCUGGAAGAUCACAUAUUGGAAUAAGAAUAUUGCCUGGGAGCCACAUGGAUUUUUGAUAUGGCCUAUUCAUACAGUUAAAGUGUGAGUGACCCAUUUGGCACAUACUACUAUUACAAAAGUAUCAUAUGAAGUUGCACUAUGUUAUCUUUUAUUUCCCUAUAGUUGGAUUGACCCACAUU